rnacentral:miRNA from 1 species
AGGCCAGGUGGGUGUGGAGGAGCCCUUACAUGGCGGUUGGCAAGGGCCCAGCGAGCCCCUCUGUGUUCUCCAG